rnacentral:rRNA from 1 species
AACGAACGCUGGCGGCAGGCCUAACACAUGCAAGUCGAACGCCGUAGCAAUACGGAGUGGCAGACGGGUGAGUAACACGUGGGAACGUACCCUUCGGUUCGGAAUAACUCGGGGAAACUUGAGCUAAUACCGGAUACGUCCGAGAGGAGAAAGAUUUAUCGCCGAGGGAUCGGCCCGCGUCUGAUUAGCUUGUUGGUGAGGUAACAGCUCACCAAGGCGACGAUCAGUAGCUGGUCGAGAGGAUGAUCAGCCAC